rnacentral:lncRNA from 1 species
GAGCCUUUAUAAUUCUCUCCUCAUCUUCCCUCACGUAGCAAACAAAUUAUUCCGAUUGCCUGCUCCACUCCCUCCCACACUAAAACAAUUCUAGGAGAGCACACGAUUAAGACGACCAAAUUUAUUCUAUUUAAGAAUAUAGUUUUAAAAUCUUUUCGUCCCUGCAAUCCGGAAAAUCUUGCUUCGCCAAGAAAUACGUACCCGACACUAUUGAAAACACUCAACACGCACGGCUGCUCCACGCCAACUUCAUUUGGUUCCUCGUGUCCGAUCAAAUUCUGCGACGUUUUGUGUCAGACUGUCAGUUUCAACGUGUUUAUGUUAGUAUGUACUAAUUAUCAUAUGUUGCAACUAGAGCCGGUCAAACGGGCUGUUCCAGCAACCGCAGGCCGUGCUAGUUCCACACGGGCACUACUAAGCAGGCGGGUCGUGCUGUGCCGGGCUCGUGACUAAAGCAAUGAAUACCGUAACGAAGAAUCACUUUGACAAAUAUUUAUUUCGGGAAAAUAUUCGAACUUUUUUGCCUCCAAAUUAAUAAUUUAAUCUACAAGUAAUGAAUUUUUUAAAGAAAAAAUACGGUAUUAAAACUUUUAUACUUCCUCUAUUCCUUUAUGUUAUUCGCUUUGACUUUGUGCACCUAAUUUAAGGUGUACAAAAAUCAUACGUCUACGUAUUAUUUUUCAAAUUGUUUUUCUCUGAAUAAAGGUUUAACAUCUAUAGUUUUAUUCAGAAAAAGAAAAUUUGAAAAAUAAUGUGUAGAAAUAUGUUUUUCUUGCACCUUAAAAUACGUACAAAAAGUCAAAGCGACUAAUUAAAAAAACGGAUGGAGUAUCAAAUAACACGCGUGUAAUUGUCUUUAAAAGUCAGAUAUAUAUAUAAAGCUCAUCAAACACUAGUCGGUGCUUAAUCCAAAUCCACCAGGAACACUAUGCGACAAGUUGAAGGGAAAGANN